rnacentral:rRNA from 1 species
UACGGGGGGAGCAAACGUUGUUCGGAAUCACUGGGCGUAAAGGGCGUGUAGGCGGCUGGAUAAGUGGGAUGUUAAAUCCCCCGGCUCAACCGGGGACCUGCAUCUCAUACUGUUCAGCUCGAGCACAUCAGAGGAGACUGGAAUUCCCGGUGUAGCGGUGAAAUGCGUAGAUAUUGGGAGGAACACCGGUGGCGAAGGCGGCCCCCUGGACCGGUACUGACGCUGAGGCGCGAAAGCGUGGGUAGCAAACGGG